AGAGUUUGAUCAUGGCUCAGAAUCAACGCUGGCGGCGUGCCUAACACAUGCAAGUCGAACGCGGUUAGUAGCAAUACUAACUGAGUGGCAAACGGGUGAGUAACACGUGGGUGACCUACCUUCGAGUGGGGGAUAACGUCCCGAAAGGGACGCUAAUACCGCAUAACAUCCUGUCCUUGAACGGAUGGAGAUCAAAGCCGGGGAUCGUAAGACCUGGCGCUUGAUGAGGGGCCCGCGUCUGAUUAGCUAGUUGGUGAGGUAACGGCCCACCAAGGCGACGAUCAGUAUCCGGCCUGAGAGGGCGGACGGACACACUGGGACUGAGACACGGCCCAGACUCCUACGGGAGGCAGCAGUGGGGAAUUUUGGACAAUGGGGGCAACCCUGAUCCAGCCAUGCCGCGUGCGGGAAGAAGGCCUUCGGGUUGUAAACCGCUUUUAGCCGGGAAGAAAAGGCGCGGGCUAAUACCUCGUGUUUUUGACGGUACCGGCGGAAUAAGCACCGGCUAACUACGUGCCAGCAGCCGCGGUAAUUC
rnacentral:rRNA from 1 species